rnacentral:rRNA from 1 species
UGGGGAAUUUUACGCAAUGGGGGAAACCCUGACGUAGCGACACCGCGUGAGCGAAGAAGCCUUUUGGGGUGUAAAGCUCUGUCAGCUGGAACGAACACAAUGACGGUACCAGCAGAGGAAGCAUCGGCUAACUACGUGCCAGCAGCCGCGGUAAGACGUAGGAUGCAAGCGUUGUCCGGAUUCAUUGGGCGUAAAGAGUUCGUAGGUGGUCUGUUAAGUUUGGUGUUAAAGAGCGGGGCCCAACCCCGAUAGUGCACUGAAUACUGGCAGACUUGAGUGCGGUAGAGGUAAGUGGGAUUCCAAGUGUAGCGGUGAAAUGCAUAGAUAUUUGGAAGAACACCGGUGGCGUAAGCGCCUUACUGGGCCGUAACUGACACUGAGGAACGAAAGCCGGGGUAGCGAAUG